rnacentral:rRNA from 1 species
CGUGCAGCCGGGCCGGCAAGUCAGAUGUGAAAUCUGGAGGCUUAACCUCCAAACUGCAUUUGAAACUGUAGGUCUUGAGUACCGGAGAGGUUAUCGGAAUUCCUUGUGUAGCGGUGAAAUGCGUAGAUAUAAGGAAGAACACCAGUGGCGAAGGCGGAUAACUGGACGGCAACUGACGUUGAGGCACGAAAGCGUGGGGAGCAAACA